CUGAAAACCAUUUUUUUUCUAUUGUUAUCCUGUAUUCCAUCUGUUAUGAGUGUGACAAGGUGAUGCUUGUUUCCAAAAUCGCACUGUUGUUUGUUUUUUUUUUUUUCACGUAAUCUUUUCCUAUUUUCUUCAAAGUUGCAUUUUCACUUGUUGAAAUGAUAAUAUUUGCGCAUAUGCAUAUCUUGGAAUUACAUGUACGGUAUGUAUAUUCGGUGUAAUGCAAUGAGUAUGUGUCGCCCACAAUUUUUGUAUUACUAUAUUUUAGAUUUAUCACAGUCACCUAACAUCCAUUUUUAAAGCAAAAAUAAUUUUUAACUAAAACACUGACAUAUAAUAAAGAAAAUGUGGUAUGAUUGUCAAUGAGACAACUCUCAACAAGAGAUCAAAU
rnacentral:lncRNA from 1 species